UGACCAUUGGCCUGGUCACAAAGGAACUAUGACAUCAUGGAGGGUAGCAGUCAGGGAAUAAAAAGUCCAUCAAGAACCACUGAGAUGGAACAGGAUGUUCAAAUGUGAACCUCUUAACAUGACUCCCAGAAUGAGAAGACAUGUGGAACCCAACAGAGACCAACCAAAUCCACCAACAGCACAAAUAAUCUGUGGUGUUCAUGUAACAAGAAAAAGAAGCACAAGUUGGUUUUAAUCUAAAACCCAUAACAGUAUAAAGGAACGACUAUAUUACUAAUACCCUAUUUAACAGUAGAAGAAAGCAACUCCAGUCAUAAGACUUGAUUCUUCCCUCUAAUAUAAGGCAGUGUCUCCUCCAUCAGACAAUUUUUUAAGGCUAAGUUUAUCUUUCUUUCCCCAAUACCUAGCAUGUUGUCUACUUAAUAAAAAGUAGCUAUCCUUUAUAAAAAGGAAGCUAUGAUUCUAAUACA